rnacentral:rRNA from 1 species
CGCGAAUGGCUCAUUACAACAGCUAGCAUAUACUUGGGUUUGACCCAUCCUACUUGGAUAACUGUGGUAAUUCUAGAGCUAAUACAUGCAUUAAAGCUCUGACCCGCGAGGGAAAGAGUGCAUUUAUUAGAACAAAACCAGGCGACUUCGGUCGUUUUCGGUUGACUCAUAGUAACUGAGCUGAUCGCAUGGGCUUGUCCCGGCGACACACCAAUCUAGCAUCUGCCGUAUCAACUUUCGAUGGUAGUGUAACUGACUACCAUGGUGAUCACGCGUAACGGAGAAUUAGGGUUCGACUCCGGAGAGUUCGCCUGAGAAAUCGCGAACACAUCUAAGGAAGGCAGCAGGCGCGAAAAUUACCCACUCUCAGCACGAGGAGGUAGUGACGAAAAGUAACGAGACCGUUCUCUUAUGAGGCCGGUCAUCGGAAUGGGUACAAUUUAAACCCUUUAACGAGUAUCUAUGAGAGGGUCAAGUCGUGGUGCCAGCAGCCGCGGUAAUUCCAGCU